rnacentral:rRNA from 1 species
CCUACGGGAGGCAGCAGUGGGGAAUAUUGCACAAUGGGCGCAAGCCUGAUGCAGCGACGCCGCGUGAGGGAUGACGGCCUUCGGGUUGUAAACCUCUUUCAGUAGGGAAGAAGCGAGAGUGACGGUACCUGCAGAAGAAGCGCCGGCUAACUACGUGCCAGCAGCCGCGGUAAUACGUAGGGCGCAAGCGUUAUCCGGAUUUAUUGGGCGUAAAGAGCUCGUAGGCGGUUUGUCGCGUCUGCCGUGAAAGUCCGAGGCUCAACCUCGGAUCUGCGGUGGGUACGGGCAGACUAGAGUGAUGUAGGGGAGACUGGAAUUCCUGGUGUAGCGGUGAAAUGCGCAGAUAUCAGGAGGAACACCGAUGGCGAAGGCAGGUCUCUGGGCAUUUACUGACGCUGAGGAGCGAAAGCAUGGGGAGCGAACAGGAUUAGAUACCCUGGUAGUCCAUGCCGUAAACGUUGGGCACUAGGUGUGGGGGACAUUCCACGUUUUCCGCGCCGUAGCUAACGCAUUAAGUGCCCCGCCUGGGGNGGUACGGCCGCGAGACGAACUACAAGAAGUAGACGCGNGNGAGNGCCGACGGCGACGACGAGGGAGGAGG